CCUAGGGGCGGCAGCAGUGGGGAAUAUUGGACAAUGGGCGAAAGCCUGAUCCAGCCAUGCCGCGUGUGUGAAGAAGGCCUUCGGGUUGUAAAGCACUUUCAGUGGCGAAGAAAGCCUUGGGGCUAAUACCCUCGAGGAAGGACAUCACCCACAGAAGAAGCACCGGCUAACUCCGUGCCAGCAGCCGCGGUAAUACGGAGGGUGCGAGCGUUAAUCGGAAUUACUGGGCGUAAAGCGCGCGUAGGCGGUCUGAUAAGCCGGUUGUGAAAGCCCCGGGCUCAACCUGGGAACGGCAUCCGGAACUGUCAGGCUAGAGUGCAGGAGAGGAAGGUAGAAUUCCCGGUGUAGCGGUGAAAUGCGUAGAGAUCGGGAGGAAUACCAGUGGCGAAGGCGGCCUUCUGGACUGACACUGACGCUGAGGUGCGAAAGCGUGGGUAGCAAACAGGAUUAGAUACCCCGGUAGUC
rnacentral:rRNA from 1 species